rnacentral:rRNA from 1 species
GAUGAAGGACGUGCUAAUCUGCGAUAAGCGCCGGUAAGGUGAUAUGAACCGUUAUAACCGGCGAUAUCCGAAUGGGGAAACCCAGUGUGACUCGUCACACUAUCAUUAACUGAAUCCAUAGGUUAAUGAGGCGAACCGGGGGAACUGAAACAUCUAAGUACCCCGAGGAAAAGAAAUCAACCGAGAUUCCCCCAGUAGCGGCGAGCGAACGGGGAGGAGCCCAGAGCCUGAAUCAGCAUGUGUGUUAGUGGAAGCGUCUGGAAAGGCGCGCGAUACAGGGUGACAGCCCCGUACACAAAAGCGCAUGUGCUGUGAGCUCGAUGAGUAGGGCGGGACACGUGGUAUCCUGUCUGAAUAUGGGGGGACCAUCCUCCAAGGCUAAAUACUCCUGACUGACCGAUAGUGAACCAGUACCGUGAGGGAAAGGCGAAAAGAACCCCGGCGAGGGGAGUGAAAAAGAACCUGAAACCGUGUACGUACAAGCAGUGGGAGCCCCCCCACUAAGCCAGUGGUGAACUC